UUAAAAACUUUGAACAGGAAAAGUAUUUGGGUUUAUAUCAUUUACAGAGAGCGGCCAGUGGUGAGAAUCCGUAGGGUAACUUAGAGAAAAUCACCUGGGAGUUUGAAAAUUGAAAAGUAUUUAACUAUCUGAGUAAAUUUUUACGUAAUUCUGCGUUAUAGAAUACCAUGUUAGUGUUCCAGGAUUAUCAUAGGUGGUAUAGCGAAUUUAACUUCGUCCUAUUU
rnacentral:ncRNA from 1 species